UACGGAAGGCAGCAGUGGGGAAUAUUGCACAAUGGGCGCAAGCCUGAUGCAGCCAUGCCGCGUGUAUGAAGAAGGCCUUCGGGUUGUAAAGUACUUUCAGUCGUGAGGAAGGUGUUAAGGUUAAUAACCUUAGCAAUUGACGUUAGCGACAGAAGAAGCACCGGCUAACUCCGUGCCAGCAGCCGCGGUAAUACGGAGGGUGCGAGCGUUAAUCGGAAUUACUGGGCGUAAAGGGCACGCAGGCGGUUAAUUAAGUUGGAUGUGAAAUCCCCGGGCUUAACCUGGGAAUGGCAUUCAAGACUGGUUAGCUAGAGUCUUGUAGAGGGGGUAGAAUUCCAUGUGUAGCGGUGAAAUGCGUAGAGAUGUGGAGGAAUACCGGUGGCGAAGGCGGCCCCUGGGACAAGACUGACGCUCAUGUGCGAAAGCGUGGGGAGCAAAC
rnacentral:rRNA from 1 species